GACCUCGGAUCAGGCAGGGAUACCCGCUGAACUUAAGCAUAUCAAUAAGCGGAGGAAAAGAAACCAACAGGGAUUGCCUCAGUAACGGCGAGUGAAGCGGCAACAGCUCAAAUUUGAAAUCUGGCCUUCGGGUCCGAGUUGUAAUUUGCAGAGGAUGCUUCGAGCAUGGUCUAGUCUAAGUUCCUUGGAAUAGGACGUCAUAGAGGGUGAGAAUCCCGUAUGCGACUGGGUGCCUAAGCUCAUGUGAAGCUCCUUCGACGAGUCGAGUUGUUUGGGAAUGCAGCUCAAAAUGGGUGGUAAAUUUCAUCUAAAGCUAAAUAUUGGCCAGAGACCGAUAGCGCACAAGUAGAGUGAUCGAAAGAUGAAAAGCACUUUGGAAAGAGAGUUAAAUAGCACGUGAAAUUGUUGAAAGGGAAGCGC
rnacentral:rRNA from 1 species